rnacentral:lncRNA from 1 species
CUCGCUUUCCGAGAGCUCCAAACAGGCUGCAACCAUCUUGACUUGGACUCAACCACUGCACUGUCGCCUGAGGCUGCCCAGUGUAGUCCUCCACGACGGCCGUCCAUAGAGCAAGGAAGCUCUGCCCUUCGUGCGUGAGAGCUUUCGAUGGUUAUGUGUGUGCAGAGCCACGAUUCUGCCUGCGACGAUCCGUGAGGCCUCCCCUCUCCCUCCGCCGCCAUGUUUCCUCGGACGCCUCUUCAGGCGCGUCGCCCCCACCUGGGCUGACCCCGCCAGGACUUCUCCGCGGUUUGCGGGGCUCUGGGGGGCGCGCGCAGCCAGCAUCCGCGGCGCUCUCCGUGCUCUUGGGGACUCCCGGGCGCCGCCCACCGUCGUGUGACUCCGGCUAAGCGUCAGGGAGCUGAGCCCGAUCCCACACGCUAGGAUAAAAUAGCGAACGAAAACGGGGCCGAAGUGGAGUACAGCGAUGUAUCAUCAUCCCUUCUCUGUCCCCUCGGGCGCGACUGAGUCUGACCACGUUCUCGGCCCCUUCGAAAACCUCGUCCAAAAAAGCUUAGUCUCAGCGUCCCUGGUCCCUAGUCCCCAGCUUCAGCCACCCACCCCAUCUGACACUGGUGUGAAGAGAAGGGAGUGCAUCCUGAGACCUGGACUUGUAGAUGGUGAAAAUGGAAUGAAUAAAUGGAAGAAGCUGUAAGCAAUGAAGGCAACCCAAACAAAAGAGUCUUCUCAGGACAGUGUUUAUCAACGUUUUAACUACAACCCACACCACACCUUUAACAUCUGGAAAUUCUCAGGCUAAGGGUCAAAUCAGAGCUGCAGCUGCCGACUUACACCACAGCCACAGCAACUCGGGAUCUGAAGCACAUCUGUGACCUACACCACAGCACAUGGCAACACUGAAUCCUUAAACCACUGAGCCAAGACCAGGGAUCAAACUUGCCUUCUCAUGGAUACUAGUUGGGUUCGUUACUGCUGAGCCACAACAGGAAUUUCCCCAGCCCGCUACUCUUGAUGCACUGCUCCCCAACUGAGACUGCCAUCCUUAUCUAGCUCUGCCCAACCUGGUCAGUCUCGAACAGCUGAUGCUAGGUGGCUUGAUUAUACCUGGGUGUGCCUGGGGACAAUACAGAGUAAAGGAGGAAAUUCCCAAGUGAGAACAUGUCUGCAUUGCUAGGGUAGAUGAGAGGGCCAAAGAUCUCCCUGCCAUCAGCACAUGCGGGAGCUUUGAUCUCUUAGUUUAAUCGGAAGAACGUGUUGUGCAGCUGUGUUCACCUACUGGUUGCUCCCUAUUAUCCCAUUCCUGAGUACAGAAAACUUAGAGACUUGCCCAUAGGGCGUUGUUUUGGAAUUUGUUACAAUGUGUCAUUUGGGGUUAUUGACCUGUGUGAACAUACGGUUUUUAUUGGAGUUGUUUGGUUCCCCCACACAGGUUAUGGUGAGAGCCCCCUCUUACUACCAAGAAAACCUGGCCCCUUGGAUUGUUUCCCCGCCAGCAGGAAGGCUUUCAUGCAACGGAAGCCACUCCCUGGCCCCACCCCUAGUAGGGUCUCUGAUGAGCUGGGCUUCAGAUCCUGCUGGUUCUGUGAAGAUGGGCUGGUGGCCGUGAACCUGGAGAUACUUACAAAAUCCCCUUGGGAACUCCCACACCCAGGCUCUGCCACCCUUGUCUCUCUGGUUUCCAGUGUGUCACCUGGCCCCUGAUCAGACCCUAAGGGAGCCCCCCCUUGCUGGGAAAAGGUAGUGUGGGUUGCGAAAGGUAAGGUGUUCUUUUGCUCAGAAGUCUUUUGGGGCCUCCCUUGAUUUGCCCACAUCACACCCCAGAUUACCGACGUGCCGAAAGCCCUUCAGGUCCCUUGCCUCCUACCUUGCAGGGCUUUCCCAAGACCACAGACACUCACGCAGCCUCCACAGUCUCCAGCCUCUGAGCCACCAGAGUGGGACUUUCAGAGAUGAUACCACCUGCCCACACUCGCUCAGCUUGAGGUCUAACCUCAGGUUGGGUGGGGGGAGAGCCUGGAUACUCCAAGCCCAGCCCUGUUGUGGGUAGGAAACAAGGACCCACAACCGAGUAAAUAUGAGUGCUUCUUACACCUCCCUCACUGACACCGUUUGGUCACUGGACCAGUGUCCCUACCUUUCCCCUCCCCGCUCAAAAAUAUCUGCUUGGCUGACUUCAAAGAAAAGCAGACACAUUCCUGAUAAUGACACUCAGAGCAAAAUUCUCCCUGGCCAGUCUGCACUGGAGACAGUAUAGAAAUCUGCAGGUGUGUGUGUGUGUGUGUGUCCCUGUGCAUGCAAAGAGGCAGGUGUUUGAAGGGAACUAUGAAAUGCGAGAAACCACAGUGACACAGAAAGGGGAAGGCAGAGGAAGGUCCAGGUGGACAAAGCCUAGGAGAGUACAGGGUUCGGCUCAGACUCGUAGAUGCCAGUAGAGCUUGCCAUGUGGAACGGAGUCAGCCUGUUAGUACAUCCCUCCUAGGUGCUAAAGGAAAUGGACAACCAUGAACGACACCCUCCUGUGGAUUGUAGGAGCCAAGCAGUGGGGCACAGAGGUACACAGGACAGAUCCAGGGCUUAUAGAUGCAGAUGGCAGAAAUGAUGACUGCACCUGAAAUGGAUGAUAAAGGUAAACUGAGUGCAGGAUAAUGUAACUCCCAGGGCCAGGGCUCAGGAAAAAGAGGGAAUAAUUCGCACGCAUUUUCUUAGGAAGAGCCAUGUCAUCUCAGUUUCUCCCGUUUAAAACCCAGGGAUACUAAAAAGUAAAUAUGUAUAUAAUAGAUAUAAUGCAUCUGCUAAAGGACAGAGACUCAAACUGGAUUUUUAAAAGUCAAUCUGUAUUUUGUUUAUAAUUCAUAGUAACACAAAAAUGUUGACAGUGAAAUGAUAGAAAAAGAAAGUUGGUUUAGCAAUAUUAGCAUCAGCAAUAAUAUUUUAAUUAAUAAUUAUUAUCAAAUAGACAUAAAAUACAAGCAUUGUAUGAUGAUGAUAAAGAGAAUCAUUACUUAAGCUACUAUACCAGGAAGAUACAGUAAUAACUGAAUGUGCAUACAUUUAGCAACAGUCUUGAAAUACAUGAUGUGAAAAUUGACAGAAUUAUAAGCGGAAAUUAACAAAUUCACAAUUAGAAUGGAAGGUUUCUGGGGGAGAUUUCCAUUUAUCAUUUUUAGAAACUCAAAGCCUAAGGAGUAAAAAAUUGAAUAAGAAUAUAAAUCAUAAAUCAUUACAAGACAACUUAUUAAGGAAGGCCAUACCUAAAAGCUUGCACCCCCAAAUGGAGAAUACACAUUUUUUCCAAGAAUACAUGACAAAAUAGUCAGAAAGGUAGACAAUAAGCCAAUUCUCAAAAAAAAAAGACCAAAAAAAUUUAUAUGUUCUGUAACCACAAUGAAAUAAAAUAAAAAAUUCAAUUUCAAAAAGGUAAAUAGGAGUUCCCUGGUGGCUCAGUGGGUUAUGGAUCCAGCUGUGGUUCCAUCCCUGGCCUGGAACUUCCAUAUGCUGCAGGUGCAGCU